rnacentral:tRNA from 1 species
GGCCCCGUAGCUCAAUUGGCAGAGCAAGCGACUCUUAAUCGCUAGGUUACAGGUUCGAUUCCUGUCGGGGUCA